rnacentral:rRNA from 1 species
AUGAACGCUGGCGGCGUGCCUAAUACCUGCCAGUCGAGCGAACAGACGAGGAGCUUGCUCCUCUGACGUUAGCGGCGGACGGGUGAGUAACACGUGGAUAACCUACCUAUAAGACUGGGAUAACUUUGGGAAACCGGAGCUAAUACCGGAUAAUAUAUUGAACCGCAUGGUUCAAUAGUGAAAGACGGUUUUGCUGUCACUUAUAGAUGGAUCCGCGCCGCAUUAGCUAGUUGGUAAGGUAACGGCUUACCAAGGCAACGAUGCGUAGCCGACCUGAGAGGGUGAUCGGCCACACUGGAACUGAGACACGGUCCAGACUCCUACGGGAGGCAGCAGUAGGGAAUCUUCCGCAAUGGGCGAAAGCCUGACGGAGCAACGCCGCGUGAGUGAUGAAGGUCUUCGGAUCGUAAAACUCUGUUAUUAGGGAAGAACAAAUGUGUAAGUAACUAUGCACGUCUUGACGGUACCUAAUCAGAAAGCCACGGCUAACUACGUG